rnacentral:rRNA from 1 species
UAGGGAAUCUUCGGCAAUGGACGGAAGUCUGACCGAGCAACGCCGCGUGAGUGAAGAAGGUUUUCGGAUCGUAAAGCUCUGUUGUUAGAGAAGAACGUUGGUAGGAGUGGAAAAUCUACCAAGUGACGGUAACUAACCAGAAAGGGACGGCUAACUACGUGCCAGCAGCCGCGGUAAUACGUAGGUCCCGAGCGUUGUCCGGAUUUAUUGGGCGUAAAGCGAGCGCAGGCGGUUCUUUAAGUCUGAAGUUAAAGGCAGUGGCUUAACCAUUGCACGCUUUGGAAACUGGAGGACUUGAGUGCAGAAGGGGAGAGUGGAAUUCCAUGUGUAACAGUGAAAUGCGUAGAUAUAGGGAGGAACACCGGUGGCGAAAGCGGCUCUCUGGUCUGUAACUGACGCUGAGGCUCGAAAGCGUGGGGAGCAAACAGG